rnacentral:rRNA from 1 species
UCAUUUAAAGAGUGCGUAAUAGCUCACUGGUCGAGUGAUUGUGCGCCGAAAAUGUACCGGGGCUAAACCUGCCACCGAAGUCUUGGAAUUCAGUUUACUGGAUUGGUAGAGGAGCAUCGUGCAUGGGCUGAAGCAUGACCGUAAGGACAUGUGGACUGUGCACGAGAGAGAAUGCCGGCAUGAGUAGCGAGAGCAGAGUGAGAAUCUCUGCCGUCGAAAGCCUAAGGUUUCCUGAGGAAGGUUCGUCCCCUCAGGGUAAGUCAGGACCUAAGCCGAGGACGAAAGUCGUAGGCGAUGGACAACAGGUUGAUAUUCCUGUACCACCUUGACACGUUAUACGAUGCAGUGACACAGAAGGAUAGGCAAAGCGGGUUGAUGGUAGAACCCGUCCAAGCACUGAGGGUGCAGCGUAGUGAAGUACGCGCUGUGGAAGCCUGGGGUGUGAUGGGGACAGAAAAUAAGUAUGGAAGUUGCUGAAUUCACGCUGGCGAGAAAAGCUGCUAAGGAGUGUUAUUGGUGCCGUACCGCAAACCGACACAGGUAGGCGAGGAGAGAAUCCUAAGACGAGCGGGAGAACCCUUGUUAAGGAACUCGGCAAAAUGACCCCGUAACUUUGGGAGAAGGGGUGCCUCGAAAGAGGCCGCAGAGAAUAGGCCCAAGCGACUGUUUAGCAAAAACACAGGUCUGUGCCAAGUCGAGAGACGAUGUAUACAGGCUGACGCCUGCCCAGUGCCGGAAGGUCAAGGGGAAGUGUUAGGGCAACCGAAGCACGGAACUUAAGCCCCGGUGAACGGCGGCCGUAACAAUAACGGUCCUAAGGUAGCGAAAUUCCUUGUCGGGUAAGUUCCGACCCGCACGAAUGGCGUAACGAUUUGGGCACUGUCUCAACAAGGGACCCGGCGAAAUUGUAGUAUGCGUGAAGAUGCGCAUUGCCCGCGAUAGGACGGAAAGACCCCGUAGAGCUUUACUGUAGCUUGGUAUUGAAUUUUGGCAACGCAUGUACAGGAUAGGUGGGAGGCUAGGAAACGAGAACGCCAGUUUUCGUGGAGCCAACGUUGGGAUACCACUCUUGUGUUGCUGGAGUUAACGUCGCGCGGUUAUCCCGGCGACGGACAGUGCCAGGUGGGCAGUUUGACUGGGGCGGUCGCCUCCUAAAAGGUAACGGAGGCGCCCAAAGGUUCCCUCAGAAUGGUCGGAAAUCAUUCGCAGAGUGCAAAAGCAUAAGGGAGCUUGACUGUGAGAGAGACAUUUCGAGCAGGUACGAAAGUAGGGUUUAGUGAUCCGGCGGCGUUAAGUGGGUUAGCCGUCGCUCAACGGAUAAAAGCUACCUCGGGGAUAACAGGCUUAUCUCCCCCAAGAGUCCACAUCGACGGGGAGGUUUGGCACCUCGAUGUCGGCUCGUCGCAUCCUGGGGCUGGAGCAGGUCCCAAGGGUUUGGCUGUUCGCCAAUUAAAGCGGCACGCGAGCUGGGUUCAGAACGUCGUGAGACAGUUCGGUCCCUAUCCAUCGUGGGCGUAGGAAAUUUGAGAGGAGCUGUCCUUAGUACGAGAGGACCAGGAUGGACAUACCUCUGGUGCACCGGUUGUUCUGCCAAGGGCAUAGCCGGGUAGCUAAGUAUGGACGGGAUAAACGCUGAAGGCAUCUAAGCGUGAAGCCCCCCUCGAGAUGAGAUUUCCCAUCCUUUAUGGAGUAAGGCCCCUUGUAGACCACAAGGUUGAUAGGCCAGAUGUGGAAGUGCAGCAAUGCAUGCAGCUGACUGGUACUAAUAGGCCGAGGGCUUGAUC